UGAAAUCGUGCGCUUGAUGUCUUGGAAAGUAAACUAAAUAAUACUUUUAUGAGAAAUCGUUUAUCAUCACUUCGCCGAGGUCGCUUGCGGGCGAGGCGCUGGGUCUGAUACUUUAUGAACUAACCUUAAUUCAAUGAGAUUUUGUAUUUAAGAGCCAUCGCCUCGCCCGCAAGCGACCUCGGCGAAGUGAAGAUAAACGAUUUCUGAUACAAGAAUUGUGUAUUUAGUAUACUUUCCAAGACAUCAACUGAACGAUUUCAUAUAAUACCGCCGAGGUCACUUGUGGGCGAGGCGCUAGAUUUGAUAUCAUGUAGUCAUAAAAUUAGUUGAGUUGAGGUUCGUAUUCAUAAUGUAUCAAUUCAAGCGCCUCGCCCGCAAGCGACCUCGGCGGUAUUGAUGAUAUCGUGCACUUGAUGUCUUGGAAAGUAAACUAAAUAAUACUUUUAUGAGAAAUCGUCUAUGCUGGAAUUGAUACAUUAUGAAUACGAACCUCAACUCAACUAAUUUUAUGACUACAUGAACAAAUCUAGCGCCUCGCCCGCAAGCGACCUCGGCGAAGUGAAGAUAAACAAUUUCUCAUACAAGAAUUGUGUACUUAGUUUACUUUCCAACACAUCAAGUGAACGAUUUCAUCUAAUACCGCAGAGGUCGCUUGCGGGCGAGGCGGUGAAACUGGUAUCAUGGCUCCUCAAUGCAAAAUCUCAUUAAAGUUUGUGUUCAUAAAGUAUCAGACCUAGCGCCUGGCCCGCAAGCGACCUCGGCGAAGUGAAGAUAAACGAUUUCUCAUUCAAAUAUGGUGUACUUAGUUUACUUUCCAAAACAUCAAGAGAACGAUUUUAUGUAAUAUCGCCGAGGUCGCUUGCGGGCGGGAUUGAUAUAUUGAUUCAAAACCUCAAAAACAUAUUAAUUGAGGACUGGAAUAGAAUUUCAGCGGAAACCACAAAAAAGUUGGUAUGUUCUAGAAAAAUAGAAUCAAUGCUGUAAUUGCAAGUGUUAGAAAAACUGUGUUUUGUCCGUUAUUGUUAAUAUAUGUUGAACACACACGCCAUUUAUUCUGCAGUUGUUUUAUGUGUUACUUCUAACUUGCAUAAAUUGUGUAUGCAACUUGCAAUAAAAUCUGUGUCAUUGUAUGUCGCUGCAGUAGUGCCUGUUUUGGAUAUAUUUGUCCCUGCAUUAAUAAAAUAAAAGAGCAGAUAGAAAAGAAAUAUCUUUGACAUCUUGACUUGUGACAUCUUUAUCUAUUGGGAGGUGUCCUUUUUGUAGUCCUUUUUGAAGCCUUGAACUUUUUUAUGGCUAACUUCUUCAUAAA